rnacentral:snRNA from 1 species
UUCUCUGUGUAAGCGAAA